CAAGGUGAGAGAUACGGAGGUAGAGCACUGAAUGUCCUAGGGGGUAUUGCACCUACCGAAGACUAUCAAACUCCGAAUGCCGUCAUCUUAUACUUGGGAGUCAGACUGUGGGUGAUAAGAUUCAUAGUCGAAAGGGCAACAGCCCAGAUCGUCAGCUAAGGUCCCUAAAUGUAAGUUAAGUGGUAAAGGAUGUGGGAUUGCACAGACAACCAGGAUGUUGGCUUAGAAGCAGCCACUCAUUCAAAGAGUGCGUAAUAGCUCACUGGUCGAGUGAUCCUGCGCCGAAGAUUUCCGGGGCUAAAACUUACUACCGAAGCUACGGCAUCAGUAAUGAUGGGUAGGGGAGCUUCCCAUACGGGUUGAAGCAUGACCGUAAGGACAUGUGGACAGUAUGGGAGUGAGAAUGUUGGCAUGAGUAGCGAGAUGUGGGUGAGAAUCCCACAGGCCGUAAACCCAAGGUUUCCAGGGGAAGGUUCGUCCGCCCUGGGUUAGUCGGGACCUAAGCUGAGGCCGAAAGGCGUAGGUGAUGGACAACAGGUUGAUAUUCCUGUACUACCGAUAACCGUUUGAGAGAAGGGAUGACACAGUAGGAUAAGCUAAGCACACUGUUGGUUAUGUGUGCCCAAGCAUUGAGGCAGUCAAAGUAGGCAAAUCCGCUUUGAUAAUGCUGGGGUGUGAUGGGGAGCGAAAUU
rnacentral:rRNA from 1 species